UAGUCUUCCGCUGUAUGAUCUUAAAAAAGUUUCAAGAUCUAACCCUGAAACCCUAGAUCUGGUUCCUAGAGCUAAAGGGUUGGAACUCGACAUGGUUAUCUAUAGAGAAAAUAAUUUUUAGUUAGAUGUUUGUACUUAUAAAAAUAUUUAUUCUAGGAACUUUAAAAAUAAACAAAGGCUCCAACUAUUUUUUUGAAUCUUCCACACUCCUCGGAUGGAGAAACAAAAAUCUAUACG
rnacentral:lncRNA from 1 species